CAGGGACACCUCCCAGUGUCCCAGGGUGUCCCAAGCCGUGUCCAGCCUGCCUUGGGCACUGCCAGGGGUGUGCUGGCCUUGGCAAUGAGUGGAUUGAGGUCUGGUGGUCUCGGGGGUCUGGAGGUCGAGGUGACCCCAAGAUUGUACAAAGUCCUUGUUCUCCCAGCCCGCGCGGCCAAAGGAGCUGGAAUGCGCAGGGUCGGCUCCUCAAGGUCGUUUAUUUUCUCUCAUCUCUAACAUGCUUCCUCAAGGAGCUGUGGUCUGUCCAGCAGGUCAGGCUGUGACAGAUUCCCACCCCCUUGGGGUGGUGUUCACAUUUUAUACCAAAAACUCCGUGUGCCAUGGUUACAGUAAUGUGCCAAUGUCUAUCAUUGAUGUUGGACAGUGUGUCUGUGCCUGAAACCAACAGAAAAGUGUCACCAGCACAGCGAGACAUGGAGGGCAAGGAGAAGGAGAAGAAGAGUUGGCAGCUUUUCCCACGUGCUGAAAUGGAAGCCACAGGUGUUUUUGACUUUGUGCCAAGGUCUCCGAGCCCCCUGCCAGGGUCUGGAGGCAGCCAGGGCAGCCAGAGGGAUGUGCUGGGUUCCCACAUGGUGGCAGUCACAGAGUCAUUCCCACACGGAAGCUGAGCUCUCCAGGCACAGCUACAGCAGGACUCCCCCACUGGCUGUGCAUUAUUCCUGCCACGAGUGGCCCAGCCUCCCUCCGCUCACCCGAGUUAUUUUCCAUAUGCUCCUUCUGCUCCUGACUGAGCUUAUGGGAGGGACAACACCUCCAGGAUUGCUCCGAACGGAAAAUAUAAAAUAAUGGCAAAUGAUGCAUUCAGAAAUAUCCACCUAAAAAUUUAAAUGAGGUUCCACAGACUUCACACUGAAUGCCCCUGGCCAAAUCCAGAGUCUAGGUAAGGAUUUGACAUUUCUCUCGCUCUGACCAUUAUCUAAUCUAAAAAGUGGGGGAGAGGAUGGGCAAUCAGCACUAUUAAAAUAAAAAUAAAAUCUUCCCUGGAAAAAUUUA